AUGGCAGGACAAACAUUUAGAACUUUUUUUUUUAAUUUUUUUGCUUUCUGACUGAGUAUUGGUUGAAAGUAUCGCAGUCAAAACUGUAACCAAAGGAGGUAUUAUGCUUCCCAAAAAAUCUCAAGGAUAAGUAUUGCAAGCAACAGUAGUGGUAGUUACGUCUGGCUGUAAAGGAAAGCGUGGAGAGAUACAACCAAUUAGUCUGAAAUUUGGAGAUAAAAUUUGUCUCCCAGAAUAUGGAGGCAACAAAGUAGUUAUAGAUGACAAGGAUUAUUCUUAUUUAGAGAUGGUGACAUUCUUGGAAGGAAUGUAGACAGA
rnacentral:lncRNA from 1 species